CCGCAUUCUAAUUUCUAACCCUUCAUGCUAUGUAAAACAGCUUUGUAAUCCCACAUUUUUGUCCCUUAUAACUAAACAAUGAUUAGUUAAUCAUCAUUAUACAUAACAGGAUGCACAGUAAAAAUGUUAUGGACUUUGGUACCACUAAAAUAUUUCUGCUUAUGAAGUCUGUUGGCAGACCACAUUCCAGAGGAAAUCAGCCCUCCCUCACCCAUGCAUGUAUUAAACAUGUAAUCCUGUAUUAAACAUGUCUAACCGCU